CUCUUUCACUGCAAGGCGGCGGCAGGAGCGGUUGUGGUGCUGGUUUCUCUAAGCCAUCCAGUGCCAUCCUCGUCGCUGCAGCGACACACGCGCUCGCCGCCGCCAUGACUGAGCAGAUGACCCUUCGUGGCACCCUCAAGGGCCACAACGGCUGGGUAACCCAGAUCGCUACUACACCGCAGUUCCCGGACAUGAUCCUCUCCGCCUCUCGAGUGUGGCCGGGGGCCUACGGGCCGGGCGGGGCGGUGAUGACCCCAACAUGCCAUCUGAGUGUCGGUGCUGAAAUCCAGAGGCUGUUUCUGAGCUGCCGCCCGGCCCAAGGCUCGUGGGGAGGCAGGUGGACUCCAGAGGACCUCGUGGCUCAAAUAAAACCAUCAUCAUGUGGAAGCUGACCAGGGAUGAGACCAACUAUGGAAUUCCACAGCGUGCUCUGCGGGGUCACUCCCACUUUGUUAGUGAUG
rnacentral:sRNA from 1 species